rnacentral:rRNA from 1 species
UAGGGAAUCUUCCGCAAUGGACGAAAGUCUGACGGAGCAACGCCGCGUGAGUGAAGAAGGAUUUCGGUUCGUAAAACUCUGUUGUUAGGGAAGAAAAAAUGUAUAGUAACUAUAUACAAAAGAGACGGUACCUAACCAGAAAGCCACGUCUAACUACGUGCCAGCAGCCGCGGUAAUACGUAGGUGGCAAGCGUUGUCCGGAAUUAUUGGGCGUAAAGCGCGCGCAGGUGGGUUAAAAAGUCUGAUGUGAAAGCCCACGGCUCAACCGUGGAGGGUCAUUGGAAACUCAUAAACUUGAGUGCAGGAGAGAAAAGUGGAGUUCCUAGUGUAGCGGUGAAAGGCGUAGAGAUUAGGAGGAACACCGGUGGCGAAAGCGGCUUUUUGGCCGGCAACUGACACUGAGGCGCGAAAGAGUGAGGAGCAAACAGG